ACAACAACAACAACUAAUUUGCCCUGAAUGGGAAAACAAUUAUUAGACCUACAUGUACUAAGUAGCCUACGUGUAGAGCUACCUGUUCAGACAAUGUGUUCAUACAAUGAGCUGAAACAAUUACUUUUAACAAUAUUUAUUUUCUAACCUAGCCAGCGAAAGUAUGAACUCGUGAUCUAAGACGUUUCAUUUUAACUGUCGUAUGCACUUUUUUUACCAUUGUUAUUCACAGUGUGCAUAUAGUCGUCGCAUUAGUGUGAGGAAGGUUUCGCAACAUGUGCACUCAUCUGAGGCUAGCUAACUGGAAUUGAUGGCAUAGGCUAGUGUUUUUCCGUUGUUUAGUUUAGUUUUUUUCAUUCAAUCUCUGUGCUCCAUCUUCCUCCUGAGAGAGUUAAUGCUGUCAAGUUUCAGAGAUGCAGUUCCAUGAAACAGUUGCUAGUUGAGUUUUUACUCAUACAUAUUUUGUCUGUUUGGUCUGAUGGGAACCCUUUUCCCACACACUUUUAAAAUGAUAACUAAGCCCACAACACAAGAUGUAGUCAAACUCUAAUAACCGCAUGGAGAAACCACAAUGAGAACUGUUUCUCUCAUACGAUAAAAGGGUCGUGAACAGGUUUGUUAAUUAAUACCCAAUUCCAGAGAAACCUUCACUAAGAUUUUUUUCUCACCACAGAAUUCUAUGAAGCAAGAAAUACACCCACACCAAAACUUACAGGAAACUCUAGCCACAUUUCCCCCUAUUAACACAGGUGCAGAGAUACAGGCUUGACCUUUGUGUUAACUGCUUCUCUUUGUAGAUAAUAGAAACAGUCAUACAGUGGUCAAAACCUCAACCUGGAAACCCCAUACUGCUACAGACCUAGCUGAAAAAAAAUGUAGUUCCCCCAAAACAAUAACAUCAACAAUUGUCAACUUCCCUACUUUAGCUCUUCAUUCUGGAUCCAAAUUGUCCCUAAAUCGUUCUAAAAGAACAUUAAAUGGGGAACAAAUUGAUCACUCAUGUUUUCAAUGCAGAGGAACCUCAUUCUCAGUCUCUCCUGCUCACUACACUGCUAUGUUUUCUUCUACUCAACCAAUGAAAAACAUCUUAAAACAGAUGCAUUUGCCCUGGUCACUUUUAAGUACGUUUCUCAACUCAAAAGCGAACAUUCUGUAGAUUCCAUGCUUUUGGCAGGACACCAAUCACACCAAACCAACUCAAAUCCCCCCCCCCCCCACCCAUCCAUCAUAUUACAUAAUUUGUAGCAUUUAUACACAUUGACCACACUAGCUAUGGUGCUAGACUGAUGUUGACCAUGAAGCCUGCUUGCUGUCUAGUGCUUACCAACAAAUCCCACUCCUGAAUGUGCCCCUGUCAGCAGGACUGCCACCCCUGGGCCGUCGGUCUCUGGCUUGGGCAGUAAAGCCCACCUCUCCAUUGUUCUAACUGGAAUGACUAAACCAGGGCCUCGUGUUCGACUGAAAAGAGAGAACAGUCAGCCAGGAGCUGGGAAGCACAGCCUGUGUGGUGUUUGUGUUACAGGGUGUGAGGUGAAAACUCAAGCUGGGUUUUGAUUCCGGUCGGUUCUUAGUCCGAGUCGAGGGAGAGGGUGUACUGUGAUUGGUCUGAUUGGUGGUGCUGAUGGCGACGACCCCGGACAAGAACCCACAGUGUGUCACGGCGGCGGUGCGUGAGAGAAUUCUUAUUGUUGAAGUUCCUAUCUUUGUAGGAGUCCGAUGAGAGAAUACAGUCAAGACAAGAUGAAGAGGAGAAGGUCAUUAUUGCAGCUUGGUACAGUAUGUGUGUGGCCCUCCAACAACAGAGCCUGACUGAAGGGUCCACAUCUUCAAGCCAAGCCCAGUCCUUCCUGGCCCAGCAGAGGCUGUCCACCCAGGCCCGGAGAAGCCUGGGACUCACCCCAAGGAUCCUGCCCAGGUAGGAGCACCUGAACCUGGGGUAGUGAGAAAGCCGAGGUAGUCCCCCUGUGGCUGUGGUGAGGAAGGAACCUGGAGGAAAUCCUUCUGCCCCGUUAUUGUGGAGGAAAUACAAAUUUUAUGUGCAUUGUUGCCCCCUGCUGAUCAAAAUACAAACUUGCUGUGUCUCUUCAGCUUUUCUGUCUUGAAUUUAAUUUAUUUGUUCAAUAAAAUUCACACAAAAAGUGAA